AGAGUUUGAUCAUGGCUCAGAAUCAACGCUGGCGGCGUGCCUAACACAUGCAAGUCGAACGAGAAAGGGACUUCGGUCCUGAGUACAGUGGCGCACGGGUGAGUAACACGUGACUAACCUACCCUGGAGUGGGGAAUAACUGAGGGAAACCUUAGCUAAUACCGCAUAAUACCUACGGGUCAAAGGAGCAAUUCGCUUCAGGAGGGGGUCGCGGCCGAUUAGCUAGUUGGCGGGGUAAUGGCCCACCAAGGCAAUGAUCGGUAUCCGGCCUGAGAGGGCGCACGGACACACUGGAACUGAAACACGGUCCAGACUCCUACGGGAGGCAGCAGUGGGGAAUUUUGCGCAAUGGGGGAAACCCUGACGCAGCAACGCCGCGUGGAGGAUGAAAUCCCUUGGGAUGUAAACUCCUUUCGAUCGGGACGAUUAUGACGGUACCGGAAGAAGAAGCCCCGGCUAACUUCGUGCCAGCAGCCGCGGUAAUACGAGGGGGGCAAGCGUUGUUCGGAAUUAUUGGGCGUAAAGGGAGUGUAGGCGGUUUGGUAAGUCGUGUGUGAAAUCUUCGGGCUCAACCCGAAGUCUGCACUCGAAACUGCCGGGCUUGAGUAUGGGAGAGGUGAGUGGAAUUCCUGGUGUAGCGGUGAAAUGCGUAGAUAUCAGGAGGAACACCUGUGGCGAAAGCGGCUCACUGGACCAUUACUGACGCUGAGACUCGAAAGCUAGGGGAGCAAACAGGAUUAGAUACCCUAGUAGUCC
rnacentral:rRNA from 1 species